GCUAGCGACAGGCUUAACACAUGCAAGUCGAGUGGCAGCAUGAGGUACCAAUACCUUGAUGGCCACCGGCGCACGGGUGAGUAACGCGUAUGCAACCUGCCUGAUACCGGGGUAUAGCCCAUGGAAACGUGGAUUAACACCCCAUAGUACUUUUAUCCUGCCUGGGAUGGGAGUUAAAUGUUCAAGGUAUCGGAUGGGCAUGCGUCCUAUUAGUUAGUUGGCGGGGUAACAGCCCACCAAGACGAUGAUAGGUAGGGGUUCUGAGAGGAAGGUCCCCCACAUUGGAACUGAGACACGGUCCAAACUCCUACGGGAGGCAGCAGUGAGGAAUAUUGGUCAAUGGACGUAAGUCUGAACCAGCCAAGUCGCGUGAGGGAAGACUGCCCUAUGGGUUGUAAACCCCUUUUAUAAGGGAAGAAUAAGUUCUACGUGUAGAAUGAUGCCUGUACCUUAUGAAUAAGCAUCCUCUAACUCCUUGCCAUCAGCCGCGGUAAUACGGAUGAUGCGAGCGUUAUCCCGAUUUAUUGGGUUUAAAGGGGUGGGUAGGCGGUUUAUUAAGUUAGUGGUUAAAUUUUUGAGCUUAACUCAAAUGUGCCAUUACUACUUGGUAAACUGGAGUACAGACGAGGUAGGCGGAAUAAGUAAAGUAGCGGUGAAAUGCAUAGAUAUAACUUAGAACUCCGAUAGCGAAGGCAGCUUACCAGACUGUAACUGACGCUGAUGCACGAGAGCGUGGGUAGCGAACAGGAUUAGAUACCCUGGUAGUCCACGCCGUAAACGAUGCUCACUGGUUCUGUGCGAUAUAUUGUACGGGAUUAAGCGAAAGUAUUAAGUGAGCCACCUGGGGAGUACGUCGGCAACGAUGAAACUCAAAGGAAUUGACGGGGGCCCGCACAAGCGGAGGAACAUGUGGUUUAAUUCGAUGAUACGCGAGGAACCUUACCUGGGUUUAAAUGGGAAAUGCCGUAUUUGGAAACAGAUAUUCUCUUCGGAGCGUUUUUCAAGGUGCUGCAUGGUUGUCGUCAGCUCGUGCCGUGAGGUGUCGGGUUAAGUCCCAUAACGAGCGCAACCCUUACCGUUAGUUGCUAGCAUGUAAUGAUGAGCACUCUAACGGGACUGCCACCGUAAGGUGAGAGGAAGGCGGGGAUGACGUCAAAUCAGCACGGCCCUUACACCCAGGGCUACACACGUGUUACAAUGGCCGGUACAGAGGGCCGCUACCAGGUGACUGGAUGCCAAUCUCAAAAGCCGGUCGUAGUUCGGAUUGGAGUCUGUAACCCGACUCCAUGAAGUUGGAUUCGCUAGUAAUCGCGCAUCAGCCAUGGCGCGGUGAAUACGUUCCCGGGCCUUGUACACACCGCCCGUCAAGCCAUGGAAGCCGGGGGUGCCUGAAGUCCGUAACCGCGAGGAUCGGCCUAGGGCAAAACUGGUAACUGGG
rnacentral:rRNA from 1 species